GCAAGAUUUGGGUACUCGAGACUGGGCUGCCCAUUGACAAAGUGCUGAUAUAGUAACAUAAUGACAAAUAAUGAGCUUUUAGUCUUAAAUUUAGACAUCAUGGUACCCACUUGGGUUGUUAGAACUUGACUGUAACAUCUUAACGUUAGAGAGCUGGCUAGUUCACGAAUAACAAAGCUAAUGUUAGUCUAACUUUACCAACGUUGCAAACUGUUGACCCAGAGCUGUUAUCUCCGGACCUUAGCCAUAUUAGCUUAGCUGGCUAGGCUUGCUAGUGCCAUGGAUGGCUAACUAAUGAUUUAAAUUAACCAGCUAACAUCUGCUAAUAACAACAUAACAUGGCUGCAAUGUUUAUUUUGGGGUUAGCAAAAGUAAUUACUUUCCUUGGAGCAGACAUAGCUGUGCUUGUUGAUCUUUGAGGGGUUCAACUGGGAAUGUGGACGUCCACAUAGCUUUAUCCUAGCCUACACUUUUCAGGGUUUGACUUUGGUUUUGGAAAGGGGAAGAAACGUAUGUCUCCUUCCAACCUCUCCGGGUAAGGAGUAUCACUAUUACACCUCCCCCAGGCACAACGUUUAACCAUGACUAGCUCGAAAUCCACAAAAACAGUCUGAAAAUUAAGAAAAUCUGAAUUGUUUGCAUGAGCGUCUGUGGAGCUCAGCUGUUUGGUUAUCGGACCCUUGUCGGAGAUGGACGAUGCUACACUAUGAUUGGUCAGCCUGCGUUUAAAGAGCAGGACUUAGUGACGGGUGAAUUGCCCAACGAUCCCGUAGCCACGCCUCCUUACUUGGGCGCGCACUAUAGCAGUGAAGAAACAGACUCGGGGACAACUGCUCGGCCUUCAUCACAAUGUCAGCUCCAAGUGAGAGUGAAGGGCUAGAUUGUGAGGCAAACAUAUUGGAGAGCGUUGUUACUCUAUUGAAGGACCAAAGACCACGAGACCCAAAUCCUACUCCCCCUAACCCCACCCCCGUCAACCCCUCUCUCAAUCCUCCUGCCCCCACCGCCCCACACCCUAUUACAACUAUUUGCAUCCACCCCUCUCCCUCUCCUCCUGCCCUCAUCCCCUUCCACACUUCUCCCAGUUGUCCUCCUAUUGACACUAUGUCAACCCUCUCUACACCACUCCUACUUACAGCACCCCCCUGUCCAACCCACAUUCUGUCCACCAGUUCCUCUUCCCUCUAGUACCCUUUCCCUUUCGAAUUAUAAAUCUGACAUCUGACAAUGUCAAUGUGUAAAAGGUAAGAACUGACAGCAGUGAUGCAGAGUCAGCUGAUGCUGAAAUGGUGACUUAUAAAUCUGAACCCUGCCCACACAAUCAUGAGACAUAUGUGUGUAAAAUUACAAGAGGAUGCAUUACAUGAAACCUUGUGAUUUUUCUCUCCCCAUUUGUCUGCCUGACAAUUUCAAUGUGUAAAAGGUAAUAACUGACAGCAGUGAUGCAGAGCAAGACAAUGCUGAAAUGGUGAGUUAAAAAAACUGAAUCCUGUUUACAAUCAUGACUGAUGUAAAAACAUUACCAUGGAACUGGUUAUGGGAAACUGGCCCACUGCAGGGUGUCCUGUAAGAAAUUAACCACACAAUGAUAACACUCAACUUGCUUAAAGCUCACGUAUGGCUCUGAAAUUACAUGUGUAUAUAUAAUACAAAUGACAUAUAAUUAAUUCUAGGCUAUUUAUUUACAUGUAAACAAUAAAGAAUAGGUAAAUAUAUUGAUAGUCUAUACUGAUAAAUGAUUUGACAAUCUGACCAACCAUAAGCAAACCCAUACAAACAUGUAAUCCAAUACAGGAGCAUAACCAAUGCUUUGCUUCCUCCAUUGGUGACAGCAUAAAAGGGCCUGUUUACAACAGCACCAACUCGGCACCUCAGUGUCUAUUACUACAGUGUGUGGGUGUGGGUAUAGUUCUGGCAUCUCAUAUGCUAUUAUCUGCACAGAGUAUAACAGAAUACAAAGUGAAACAAUUGCAAUAUGAAAACAUAAGCAAAUAGCAGGGGACUGUAAACAAUAACAAGGCGAGCCUUGAGUUUUAAAUACAGUGUGAUGUGCAGGAUUAGAGCAUUCUCCAUUAGCAAUAGGUGUCAUAUCCCGCCAGGACUUGAAAUGUUUUCUCCUUGUGUUCUGUUACUUUCACUUCCUGUGUUUUCCCACCUUUGUUGAUUGCCUCGUGUUUCACCUGUAUCUCGUUUCACUCACCUUUCAAUUUGUUUCAGUCCCUGUGUAUUUAAAGCUGUGUUUCCUCUGUUAAGCUGCCAGAAUGUUAACUUGCUAUGCUUCACGUCUUUGCUUUCUAGCCUCCAGUCUGUUUAUCUGUUGUUUGUAACCUGAAAACCUAUAUCCUGCCUGUUUUUGACCUUCUGCCUGAAUAUUGGACUUUGGAUUCUUGCCUACUCCAUUUUGGAUUUGGGUCCUUCCCCUGUAUUCCUGUUACCCUGCUUGCACCAGCUGUGACAAAUGGAGAAAUAAUACAUUAGACAUGGAUAUGUGUGAUUUAUAAAUCACAGUCUCGAGGGAACAGUCUCCUACGGUUACUAAAAGAGGAUUCAUGACAUUAUAUUCUCUUUCUGACUUUUUGGUGGGUCUGUACACAUUCUAAACUUGUUUAACAGGAGACCAUAGAGGAAAGGUGUCGCUUAAUUGCAGAACAAGAUGCUGAGUACUUCAGAUCACUUCGUUUGGACCGAGAGGCGGUAAUUGCAGUUAUGCUAUAUAUUAAAAAAACAUUCUCUGACAUAAGUGCAUAAUGAGCUUCCACUUCCAAUGUGUAUUGUGUUUUAAGAAUAAUUACACCAUGUGAACCUGCAACAUAUUUAAAUGCACUAUUUAUAUAGCAGGGUUUAGUUCUUGUUGAAUAGUGUUCCUCUUUCCUUUUCCCCAGUCACCUGUUGUCACUGUCUAUCCACAAACACACUUGUGGGGUCAUGAUUGAUUGCACCAUAUCAAAGCUUGGAUGAUCUAUGUACAUGACUGUCAGUGAUGUAAAAUGCUUUAGUGUUUUGUGUAGUGGCUGUGAAAACAAACGUACUCUUCCAGGACAAGUGAUAUCUCGCUAAAGUAAGGAGUAAGGUGUAUUUGCUUUCCUUUCAUUUUGUACAGGAGUCUGAUGACAAUGUGACACCUGUGGUAAUCCCUGCUGCAGCACCUGCUUCCACCUCUUGUACAGUUGUCCCAGCCUCCACCUCUUCCACAGUUGUUCCAGCCUCCACCUCUUCCACAGUUGUGCCAGCCUCCAGUUCUUCCACAGUUGUCCCAGCCUCCACUUCUUCCACAGUUGUCCCUGCCUCCACCUCCUCUACAGUUGUCCCAGCCUCCAGCUCUUCCACGGUUGUCCCAGCCUCCACCUCUUCCACGGUUGUCCUAGCCUCCACCUCUUCUACAGUUGUCCCUGCCUCCACCUCUGACAUGGGUCUCUCUGCCUCCACCUCUGACGUGGGUCUCCCUGCCCCCACCUCUGACAACACUGUGCUUGCACACAUAACCAUCACAAUGGGCAGUGAAACUCGGGCUAACCAGGAGAACCUAUAGACUGCUGAGUAUGAUGCUACCUGUUUGCCUUGUCCAUGGAGGGGUUGCUGUCCAAACGACUUUUCGGACAGCUGUCAGGGCUCCCCACCUCCCCAGUGGACAUAACCGAAGUAGAUGACAUAGAGCUGCGAGAACAACUAGACAAGCUGGAGAAUAGUCGUACACGGGGGAAUUGAUGGCUUCAGUCGGAACAUAAUGUACCUGAGGGCCAGCAACAACAACAGGGCAUCAACAGUCCUUGAAUGCUUCCUUGGAGCAUUGCACAGUCAUGGCUUGCCUCAAUAUGUCCGCAGCGACAAAGGAGGAGAAAAUGUUUUCAUGGGAAGGUGUAUGCUGGAACAUCCAGAACGUGGACCUGACCGAAGGAGUUUCAUCACGGCGAAGUCUGUCCACAAUCAAAGGAUUGAACGUUUGUGGCAUUACUAAUGGUGUGUAGUUAUUGGUUAUUACUACUAUGCUGCCUUCAGACAUUUGGAGGACAUUGGAGCGUUGGAUCCAAACCAGGACGUCCAUCUCAGCUGCCUACACUAUGUGAUGCUGGCAUGGCUGAACUGGCAUCUGCAGUUGUUCAGCCAAACGUGGGACAGACAUCCAAUGUCAUCUGAGGGCAACAAAUCCCCCCAGCAGCUAUGGGUGGCAGGACAGCUUUUGAAUAUGGAGCAGAUACCCAGUGAGAUGGAUUUCGCCACUUGGGGAAUCGAUUGGAAUGGACCGGCUCCUUCCCCUGACACACAGACACCUGUUGAGGUUCCUGCACUUCCCCAUGACCAACAGGACACCUAUGAGACCCUGCUGCGAUCAGACAUUAAUCCAUUCCACAUGAGUAAGGUCUAUGGUACAGACAUUUACAUGGAGGCUUUGAGGAUGAUCCAAGACUAUUUGGCUCAGUAUUGAAGUGGGAUUUAAGGCCAUUCAACUACUUCCAGCACCCUCCACAUUGGCUUCACUUUUCAUACCUUGCAGCUCUGAAUAUUUAUUAUAUGCUGUCAAGGAUUGUAUACAAAAGGAGUAAACUGCUUUGCAUUGACACUA